rnacentral:rRNA from 1 species
UGGGGAAUCUUGGACAAUGGGGGGACAACCCUGAUCCAGCCAUGCCGCGUGAGUGAUGAAGGCCUUAGGGUCGUAAAGCUCUUUCGCCUGUGAAGAUAAUGACGGUAGCAGGUAAAGAAACCCCGGCUAACUCCGUGCCAGCAGCCGCGGUAAUACGGAGGGGGAUUAGCGUUGUUCGGAAUUACUGGGCGUAAAGCGCACGUAGGCGGACCAGAAAGUUGGGGGGAUGAAAUCCCGGGGGCUCAACCCCGGAACUGCCUCCAAAACCUAUUGGUCUAGAGUUCGAGAGAGGUGAGUGGAAUUCCAAGUGUAGAGGUGAAAUUCGUAGAUAUUUGGAGGAACACCAGUGGCGAAGGCGGCUCACUGGCUCGAUACUGACGCUGAGGUGCGAAAGUGUGGGGAGCAAACAGGAUUAGAUACCCUGGGUAGUCCACACCGUAAAACGAUGAAUGCCAGUCGUCGGGUAGCAUGCUAUUCGGUGACACACCUAACGGAUUAAGCAUU